rnacentral:lncRNA from 1 species
CCCAUAUAAAUCAAUACUAGUCAAAACUUACUUACCAAAUAUUUAUCUUUUGUUUUGUUUAAAUUGAGAGGAUUGUAUAAAUGAAAUUUAUGUUGCUUUAUUUAUAAUUACAUCAUGUAGCUUGGUUGGUUAAAGUUAUAAGAAUGAGGUUUUGAGUUCGAAUCAUAAUGGAAAUGAAUUUUUUAGUCUCAACUUAUUUACAUGUUAUCAUUGUCACGGAGGAUAGUCAAUACCCAUCUACAUAAGAAGAAAUAGGCAAAAAAAAUAAGAGGCAUUGAAGUAAAAGUCCUUGAAGCAUGCAUUUUGUUGCUUUCUAUAUAUUUAGAUAUAUUUAGGAGAGUACUAUUUUUACAUGUAUUUUUGAUAUUUCUACAUAGUUGCUUCUCACAAGAAAGUGAGACUUACUAUAUGCUCAUAUGAAAGAGAAUGAAAGAAGAUCAUGUAAAAAUAUCAAAAAUACACUUAAAAUAUUAGUUCCCUAUAUUUAAGGGAACUCGCAAGCACUUUGCUACAUUUGAAAACUCAAUUUCAUGUUUUGACAUUGGAAGCAAGCACAAAAUAUAGUGUUGACUAAUAUGGAAAACUAUCCUUUGUAUGUAUGGAAUUUAGCAAAUCUAUCUUUUAAGGGACAAUUAUAUCGUAAAAUCAUAAUAUUUAAGGUAUAAUUGGUCUUGCAAAUACCACGAGAUAGC